rnacentral:rRNA from 1 species
GUGUCAGCCGCCGCGGUAAUACGUAGGGGGCAAGCGUUGUCCGGAAUUAUUGGGCGUAAAGCGCGCGCAGGCGGUUUCUUAAGUCUGAUGUGAAAGCCCGUGGCUCAACCACGGAGGGUCAUUGGAAACUGGGGAGCUUGAGUGCAGGAGAGGAGAGUGGAAUUCCACGUGUAGCGGUGAAAUGCGUAGAGAUGUGGAGGAACACCAGUGGCGAAAGCUGCUCUCUGGCCUGUAACUGACGCUGAGGCGCGAAAGCGUGGGGAGCAAACAGGAUUAGAUACCCCUGUAGUCC